rnacentral:rRNA from 1 species
AUUGAACGCUGGCGGCAUGCCUUACACAUGCGAGUCGAACGGUAACGGGCCUUCGGGUGCCGACGAGUGGCGAACGGGUGAGUAAUACAUCGGAACGUGCCCGAUCGUGGGGGAUAACGAGGCGAAAGCUUUGCUAAUACCGCAUACGAUCUACGGAUGAAAGCAGGGGACCGCAAGGCCUUGCGCGGACGGAGCGGCCGAUGGCAGAUUAGGUAGUUGGUGGGAUAAAAGCUUACCAAGCCGACGAUCUGUAGCUGGUCUGAGAGGAUGAUCAGCCACACUGGGACUGAGACACGGCCCAGACUCCUGCGGGAGGCAGCAGUGGGGAAUUUUGGACAAUGGGCGCAAGCCUGAUCCAGCCAUGCCGCGUGCAGGAUGAAGGCCUUCGGGUUGUAAACUGCUUUUGUACGGAACGAAAAGCCUUCUUUUAAUACAGGAGGGUCAUGACGGUACCGUAAGAAUAAGCACCGGCUAACUACGUG